rnacentral:lncRNA from 1 species
GGUGCAGACAAAGCAGCUGUGUGGAAAGAUAUCUCCGUCAAGAAUGGGUUGGUGGCGAGGAACAAAAACUCCCUUAGCCGGAGUAGAAAUGGGAUCUGUUGAUGGUGUCGGGGAACUCAGGAAACAUGGAAGGAAGGCCACAGCCUCCGAGAGGAACUGGUGAGUGCUUAUGGAGCAAAGAGCAUGUAGAACCUUCUAGUCUCUGACCACGUGGUAAGAUGGAGCAUCUGUCUCAGCAAGCUUUGCUCUCUCUUUUCUCUCUGGCCUAUUCUGGUCCCCUUUCUGCAAGAGUUUGAUUUUCCCUCUCUUUUCUCUACAUGUCUGCAGGUGUGUCAGUACAUGGAUGGAUAGACAAACACACACGCUCAUGCACACAUACUUAGGCACAUACACACUUAGAUACACACUUAUACACACACACACACAUGCUCAUGCACACAUACUUAGGCACAUACACACUCAGACACAUGCACACACUCACUCACAUACACUCAGACACACACUCACACACACACAUGCUCAUGCAUACAUUCUCAGGCACACACUCAGACACACACACACUCAGACACACACAUUCAGAUACACUCAGACACACAAACACACUCAGGCACACACACACUCACACACACACUGAGACAUGCAUGUCCCAUGUGGGGAUAGGUUGCACUUCCUCUUUCAGCUGUGGCUUCUGGGCAGCUGCUCUACUCUGUCAUUUCUGCCUUAUGAAGCUUUGUCCCUAUUCAAGUAACAGAAAGCAGAAAGUGGCCCGGGAAACUCGACCUUCAAGCACACAGAACAAAAGAGAGAGCCACUGUCUUCCUGGAAAUGGUGCAUCAAAACUAUUUGCUGGGAUUGGCUUAAAGCUGGCUUGAUGGCUAUGGUCUAUUUUUGGAUGGGUCAAGCUGGUAUAAAAAGGAUGUGUGAACGUGAAGAUGAAGAAAUGCACUUUCUAUGGACAGAACUAAGACUCACCUGAAUGAGUCUAGGAAAGAAACUUAACUCAGUUACAAAAUGCUGGAUAAAGCCAAGAGACUUAAUAAAGUACUUUCUUGUCAAAAAAAAAAAAAAGAAAAGAGAAAAGAAAGGAAGGAA